rnacentral:rRNA from 1 species
AGGCCCGCACAAACGGUGGAGCAUGUGGUUUAAUUUGAAGCAACGCGAAGAACCUUACCAAGUCUUGACAUCCUUUGACAACCCUAGAGAUAGGGUUUUUCCUUUGGGAGCAGAGUGACAGGUGGUGCAUGGUUGUUGUCAGCUUGUGUUGUGAGAUGUUGGGUUAAGUCCCGCAACGAGCGCAACCCUUGAUUUUAGUUGCCAUCAUUUAGUUGGGCACUUUAAGGUGGAUGCCGGGGGCAAACCGGAGGAAGGGGGGGAUGAAGUCAAAUCAUCAUGCCCCUUAUGACCUGGGGUACACAAGUGGUACAAAGGGCGGUACAAAGAGGAGCAAGACCGCGAGGUGGAAGUAAUCUUAAAAAACCGUUUUCAGUUCGGGAUGUAGGUUGGAAAUUGCCUUCAAGAAGGUGGAAUUGGUAGUAAUCGCGGAUUAGCAUGCCGCGGUGGAUAAGUUUCCGGGCCUUGUACACCCCGCCCGUCACACCACGAGAGUUUGUAACACCCGAAGUUGGGGGGGUAACCUUUUGGAGCCAGCCGCCUAAGGUGACAAGAAACUUCCCGCCUAAGGUGGACAGAAGGGGG